AAGCCAUGAUGAGGGCACUCAUGCAACAGACCUUGAAAUCUCUCUUGUGCCAAGCACAAUGAUUCCUCAUCUAUCUAUACAAAACUCAUGAUUUGUUUCCUUAGUUU